UACAGAGGGUGCGAGCGUUAAUCGGAAUUACUGGGCGUAAAGCGUGCGUAGGCGGCUAUGUAAGUCAGAUGUGAAAGCCCCGGGCUUAACCUGGGAAUGGCAUUUGAGACUGCAUAGCUAGGGUGCGGAAGAGGGAAGCGGAAUUUCCGGUGUAGCGGUGAAAUGCGUAGAUAUCGGAAGGAACACCAGUGGCGAAAGCGGAUUCCUGGUCCAGCACCGACGUUCAGGCACGAAAGCGUGGGGAGCAAACAGG
rnacentral:rRNA from 1 species